rnacentral:rRNA from 1 species
GUGUCAGCAGCCGCGGUAAUACAGAGGGUGCAAGCGUUGUUCGGAAUUAUUGGGCGUAAAGCGCGUGUAGGCGGUCUCGCAAGUCGGAUGUGAAAGCCCUCGGCUUAACCGAGGAAGUGCGUUCGAAACUACGAGACUUGAGUACCGGAGAGGGUGGCGGAAUUCCCGGUGUAGAGGUGAAAUUCGUAGAUAUCGGGAGGAACACCAGUGGCGAAGGCGGCCACCUGGACGGCUACUGACGCUGAGACGCGAAAGCGUGGGGAGCAAACAGGAUUAGAUACCCCUGUAGUCC